UGGACCACCAGCUACCACACAGAGUCUUUAUUCUUAAUCUUUGUGAAUGGUCGUUCUUCUGGGCCAAGAUCU
rfam:Strigomonas culicis Cont8297, whole genome shotgun sequence.